GCAAAUCCGCUGAACUUAAGCAUAUUAUUAAGCGGAAGAAAAGAAAAUAACAAUGAUUCUUUUAGUAACGGCGAGUGAACAAAGAAAAGCUCAACAUGGAAAAUCCGACAGAUGGCUACCCGCGAUUUGUUGGAAUUGUCAAGUUGAAAAACAUUUCAAGAGUUCUUUUUUAUAAUAUGAUAAUGAGAUGAAGUAGAUAGAAAUGUCUCUCCAUAGAGGGUGAAAGGCCCGUAUUCUUAAUCAUAAAACCGAUCUCUUGGAAUGUUUUGUUUUGAGUCGUGUUCUUUGAGAUUGGAACAUCAAUAUGUGUGAUACAUUUCACAUAAAGCUAAAUAUUUGUAAGAAACCGAUAGUAAACAAGUACCGUGAGGGAAAGAUGAAAUAGUACUCAGGAAUGAGCAAUUAAAUAGUACCUGAAAUCGUUAAGAUGGAACGGAUUAAAAAAGGAAAAAAGUAACAACACAUAGUAAAUGAGAGAUUUUGAUGCGCGCAAUAAAGAAUGUAGUCCUGAAAAGGAUGUAGAUAUUCAAGUAUCAAAACAAAAUUUUUCUUUUUUUAAAAAGAAUUCUUUUGAAACUUUUGUUAUAAAAUUCAUUUUUAUUCUUAUCCUUUUUUAGGUAAGAUAAAAAUGAUACAAAAGUUGUCUUUCAUAAUAUAUAUGUUCUUAUUAAAAGAAACAUCAGUGAAUGAAAAUAAAUAAUCGUAAAGCAAAAUGACAGUAACAAGAAAAAAAAAAAAAUUAAAAAAAUUAAUAAAAUAAAAUAAUAUAAAAAUUAAAAUGGAAUAAAAUAAAACAAAAGGUAUAAAAUAAAAGAAUUAAUUGAAUUUCAUUUCAUUUUUUUUUUUUUUUUUUUUUCAUUUUGUUUGAUUCUAUUCUAUUCUAUUUUAAUUUUAUUUUAUUUUAUUUUAUUUUUUAUUUUUUUUUUUUUUUUUUACUUAUUGACUAUUUUUCUAAACUAAUGUGGAAAAAUAUAACUUGCUUUUUCUUUUUUUUUUUUUUCUUUUAUGAAGGGAGAAAAAAAAAAAAAAAAUAUGAAAGAUACAUUUAUUUAAUUUACUGAGGAUUGUCAAAAUUAUAUUAAUUGUACAUGUUGUGAAUAAUAUAAUUUAAGAUGUUUUUAUAAAGUACUUUUUUAACCCACUCGUCUUGAAACACGGACCAAGGAGUCUAACAAAUGUGCAAGUGUAUAUGAUAAGAAUAAACAUAGUAUAAAAAUUUAUACGCAUAAUUAAUGUAACAUAUGUUUAUUAAUUGUAGAUUUGUGGUGUUUUAUUUUUUUAUAAUAUACCCACAAUGCAUACAAUACCGGUAAGCGAUUAUGCUUUAUUGAGUAAGAGCAUACUUGUUAGGACCCGAGAGGCUUUGAACUAAACGUGAUGAGAUUGAAGUCAGAUUAAAAUCUGAUGGAGGAUCGAGUUGAUACUGACGUGCAAAUCGUUCAUUUCAAUUGCGUUUAGGGGCGAAAGACUAAUCGAAAAGCCUAUUAGCUGGUUAUUUUCGAAAGAUCUCUUAGGAUCGCUGGAGUUGAUUAUAAUAUAGUUUUACCUGGUAGAAAUAAUGAUUAGAGGUUUCAGGGAAAUGAUAAUUCCUUGACCUAUAAAUUCAAAGAUUCAAUAGGUAAAAAAAUGGUGAAAUAACUUUAUUGUAUUUCAUUCAUAUUUAAAAUAAGAUAACUUCAAGUUGGCCAAUUUUGGUAAGCAGAACUGGCGAUGAGGGAUGCUCCUAACGCUUGGAUAAGGUGCCUAAAUAUUCGCUCAUUAGAUACCAUUAAAAAGGUGUUGGUUUGUAAUUACAGUAGGACGGUAUUCAUAGAAGUUGAAAUCCGCUAAGAAGUGUGUAACAACUUACCUACCGAAUAAACUCGCCCUGAAAAUGGAUGGCGCUAAAGCGGAUUACCGAUACCAAGCCAUAAAAAAGAAAAAAAAAAUUCAAUAUUUUUUUUUUAGAUUCUUUUUAUGAGUAGAAAAUCGUGGGGUUUGUGUUGAAGCGAAAUACGUGAGUUUUCGUGGAACAUUUCCCUAGUGCAGAUCUUGGUGGAAGUAGCAAAUAUUCUUAUGAAAACUUUGAAGACUGAAGUGGAGAAGGGUUUUUUGUGAACUAUGUUUGAGCAAAAGUUAGCCGUUCCUAAGAGACAGCUUAAAAGCUUUAUAAAAUGAGGUUAUCUAUUAUAUGAAAAGUAUAGUAGUGUUUUUUCUCUUCUCGAAAGGGAAGCAGGUUGAUAUUCCUGCGCCAGAAGUAAUAAGAAUUAAUUAAUAGAGAUGGUAACAUAUAUAUAUAAAUGAACUCCUUAACAUAGGCCUUACGCUUGGAGUGCGUUAUCUUUGCACUUUACCUUUAUAUCAAACCUUGGAAAUCAAUUUACUUGUAGAAAAGGUUCGAUGAAUUUACAAUAAACAAAUUAUUUAUAAUAUGUGUGGACCGGUACACAUGAUAUAUAAAAAUUUUGUUUUGUAGUAAUAGUAAUUCGUUUUUUGUACGAAUUAUCCAAAGUGGUAAGGACUAUCCAUGAAAAAAGGAGGGAACACUAAAUUAAAUGGGAAUGUGAAAUACUAUAAAAAUAUGAAAGGACAAAAAGAAAUAAAAAGGAAAGAAAAAAAAUAUUAACCUUCAGCCUUUUUUUCUAUUUUUUUUUUUUCUUUUUUCUUUCAUAUUUUUAUAGUAUUCUACAUUAACCAUUUUUUUUUUAUAUUCUUAUUUACCAUUAUAAUGAACGUACCAAUAACCGCAUCAGGUCUCCAAGGUUAGUAGCCUCUGGUUAAAUAGAAAAACGUAGGUAAGGGAAGUAAGCAAAUUAGAUCCGUAACUUCGGGAAAAGGAUUGGCUCUGAUAACAUAAAUGCGAAGAAAAAAAUAAAAAGAAUUGUGGUUGAAAAUAAAAAUGUUAAGAUGUUUAUAUAUAUUAGUUUUUCUUUUAUUUUAAGAUUAAUUAUUUAUAUAUAUAUAUAUGUUAAAAUGUUUUAGAUUUCUUCUUCUAUUCUUUUCUUCCUUUUUUUUUUUUUCUCUUCAAUAUUACAUUUUUUUUUCUUAUUAUGAUAAGCAAUUAUUAUAAUAAAAUUAUGUAAUAUUGUAACUGUGUUUUUUCAGAACUGAAACGGACAAGGGGAAUCCGACUGUUUAAUAAAAACAUAGCAUUGUGAAAAGCUAUAACUGGUAUUAACACAAUGUGAUUUCUGCCCAGUGCUUUGAAUGUCAAGUUGAUGAAAAAUUCAAUUAAGCGCAGGUAAACGGCGGGAGUAACUAUGACUCUCUUAAGGUAGCCAAAAUGUAUGGUCAAUAAAAAAGACCAUCAGGAAUGGAUUAACGAGAUUCCUACUGUCCCUACUUGCUAUCUAGCGAAACCACAACCAAGGGAAAGGGCUUGGUAAAAUCAGCGGGGAAAGAAGACCCUGUUGUGCUUUACUCUAGUCUGGCUUUGUAAAAAGAUAUAAGAGGUAUAGCAUAAGUGGUAGUAGAAAUUGAAAUAAUGUUUUUACGUCAGUGAAAUACCACUACUUUUAAAAUUUUUUUACUAAUCCAUUUAUGUAGUGAAUGACUAUUAUAUAUAUAUAUAUAUAUUUAUGUAUAUUCUAAUAUGAUGACAUUUUUUUCUUUAUUUUAUUUUAUUUAAUUUUUUAAUAUAAGUGUUUGUUUCUUUUUUUUUUUAAAAAGAUCUACACAAAAAAAAAAAAAAAAAAAAAUGAAAUAAAAUAAAGAAAAAAGUAUUAUCCUAUUCUAUUGAAUUAAAUAGAUAGAAUCUUUUUCUAUAUAUUUAUUCUAUAUUUUAUGUGUAUCACAUUUAAUGGAAACAGAGUCAGGUGGGGAGUUUGACUAAGGUGGUACAUCUGUAAAAAAUUAACGCAGAUGUCCAAAGAUAAGCUCAAGGAGAACAGAAAUCUCUUGUAGACUAAAAGGGGAAAAGCUUGUUUGAUUUCUAUUUUCAGAAAGAAUAGAAAACGUGAAAGCGUGGCCUAUCGAUCCUUUAUAUUUGCAAAAUGACGUAAAUUACUUACUACUGUGCAUAUAGAGGUAUCUGAAAAGUUACCACAGGGAUAACUUGCUUGUGGCUGCUUAGCGAUAUUAGCAACGUAGCUUUUUGUAUUUUCGAUUACGGCUCUUCCUAUCAUUGGGACGCAGAAGUCUCAAAGUGUCGGAUUGUUCACCCGCUAAUAGGGAACGUGAGCUGGGUUUAGACCGUCGUGAGACAGGUUAGUUUUACCCUACUGAUGAAUAUUAUUAUAUUUUAUUAUAUAUAUAUAUAUUAUUGUGACAGUAAUCCAACUUGGUACGAGAGGAUUAGUUGGUUCAGACAAUUGGUACAGCAAUUGGUUGAUAAGCCAGUGUUGCGAAGCUAAGUCUGUUGGAUAAUGACUGAACGCCUCUUAAGUCAGAACCCAUACUGAUUAAACAAUAAUAUAAUUGUAUAUUUUUGUUAUAAGGUUGUGUUUUAUUUUUUUUUAUUGCUAAUGUAAAAGAGAAAUUUCAUAUA